rnacentral:rRNA from 1 species
AUUGAACGCUGGCGGCAGGCUUAACACAUGCAAGUCGAGGGGCAGCAUAAAAGUAGCAAUACUUUGGUGGCGACCGGCGCACGGGCGAGUAACGCGUAUGCAACCUACCUAUCAGAGGGGAAUAACGCGGCGAAAGUCGGACUAAUACCGCAUAAAACAGGGGCACCGCAUGGUGAUAUUUGUUAAAGAGAUUCGCUGAUAGAUGGGCAUGCGUUCCAUUAGGUAGUUGGUGAGGUAACGGCUCACCAAGCCGACGAUGGAUAGGGGAACUGAGAGGUUGGUCCCCCACACUGGUACUGAGACACGGACCAGACUCCUACGGGAGGCAGCAGUGAGGAAUAUUGGUCAAUGGGCGAGAGCCUGAACCAGCCAAGUCGCGUGAAGGAAGAAGGAUCUAUGGUUCGUAAACUUCUUUUGCAGGGGAAUAAAGUGCAGGACGUGUCCUGGUUUGUAUGUACCCUGAGAAUAAGGAUCGGCUAACUCCGUGCCAGCCGCCGCGGUAACAC